rnacentral:rRNA from 1 species
AAGCACCGGCUAACUCCGUGCCAGCAGCCGCGGUAAUACGGAGGGUGCAAGCGUUAAUCGGAAUUACUGGGCGUAAAGCGCGCGCAGGCGGUUUGUUAAGUCAGAUGUGAAAUCCCCGGGCUCAACCUGGGAACUGCAUUUGAAACUGGCAGGCUAGAGUCUNGUAGAGGGGGGUAGAAUUCCAGGUGUAGCGGUGAAAUGCGUAGAGAUCUGGAGGAAUACCGGUGGCGAAGGCGGCCCCCUGGACCNNGACUGACGCUCAGGUGCGAAAGCGUGGGGAGCAAA